GAGUGCUUUGGUUCCUUCUCCCCCUUCCCAUUCCCACAAGAGUUAUUAUCCUACCCUGGAGUGCUAUGGUUACUCCUCCCCCUUCUCAUUCUCACAAGAGCUAUUCCCAUAAAAGCCCUUCUUCUUCCGCACCUCUCUCUUGCCCACCUUUCACUUCAGUGAUUAAACACAGGGAAGGUUGCUGUGUGAGGCGGCCAUUUUUGCUACCUCCACGUGGUCCAAACUGCUGUUCUCUCACCCAACUCUGAGGUGCCAGCACAAAUAAAGGAUUGAGUUCCAUUUCUGCUCCAAACCUCCUUUUUCUGCAUCCCGCAGCCACAAGUGAUGGGGCUUUUAGAUGGACUCUAGCAUAGAUGAUUGGCAUUAAGACAUUUCUGGCGCAAAGACACUGGUUCAAGCCCCAGGUCCCUCCUGCAUGGGGAAAACUUUGCAAGUGGUGAAGCUCUGCUGCAGGUGUCUCUCUAUCUCUCUCCCUCUCUUUUACCCUCUCCCUCUCUAUUUCUGGCUGUCUCUAUCCAAUAAGUAAAGCUAAUAAUAAUAAUAAAGGGGAAAAAACCACAUUUCUGCUCCUCCCCUGAUCCCUUCAAGACAUUUUAUUCUAUUUCUUUUUCUUCUUUUCAUAGGAGCACUUAUUGGAUUACACUUCCAAUGGUGCCAGUGAUUGACCUUCAAACCGUGAUGUCUCAGGGUUAAAGUUUUUUCUUUAACAAGUUUGUUACUUCCAAGCACCAGGCUCUGCAUUUAACAAAAUGGUUAUUAGUUGGGGGUGGAGGGGAGAUAGAUAGCAUAAUGGUGACACAAAGAGACUCUCUGCCUGAGUCUCCAGAGUGCCAGGUGCAAUCCUCUGUUCCACCAGAAGACAGAGUUGAGCUGUGUUCUAGUAAAACAAACAAACAUAAAUAGAAAUAAAUUAAAUGGGCAGGGAAGAAACCAUAUGGUUAUUCAUGCAGAGAAACUCUAGUACUUUAUCUCCAAAUCUCAGGAUUGCACCAGCAUAAUUAGAGCUGAUCAGUAGUCUGGUAAGAAAAAAAAGCUGGGCUGGGUGGUGGUGCACUAGAUGAGCGCACACGUCACAGCGCAAGGACUCAGGUUCAAGCUCCCAGGCCCCACCUGCAAGGAGAAAGCUUUGCAAGUGGUGAAGCAGGGCUGCAGGUGUCUCUGCCUCUCUCCCUCCCUAUCUCUCCUUCCCUCUUGAUUUCUGGCUGUCUCUGUUCAAUAAGUAAAUGAAGAUAA